UGGGGAACAUUGGACAAUGGGGGAAACCCUGAUCCAGCAAUGCCGCGUGAGUGAAGAAGGCCUUAGGGUUGUAAAGCUCUUUCGCCCGCGAAGAUAAUGACGGUAGCGGGAGAAGAAGCCCCGGCUAACUCCGUGCCAGCAGCCGUGGUAAUACGGAGGGGGCUAGCAUUGUUCGGAAUUACUGGGCGUAAAGCGUACGUAGGCGGAUGCGCAAGUUGGGGGUGAAAUCCCGGGGCUUAACCUCGGAAUUGCCCUCAAAACUGCACGUCUUGAGACCGAGAGAGGUAAGGGGAAUUCCUAGUGUAGAGGUGAAAUUCGUAGAUAUUAGGAAGAACACCAGUGGCGAAGGCGCCUUACUGGCUCGGUACUGACGCUGAGGUACGAAAGCGUGGGGAGCAAACA
rnacentral:rRNA from 1 species